GAUGAACGCUGGCGGCGUGCCUAAUACAUGCAAGUCGAGCGAACAGAUAAGGAGCUUGCUCCUUUGAAGUUAGCGGCGGACGGGUGAGUAACACGUGGGUAACCUACCUAUAAGACUGGGAUAACUUCGGGAAACCGGAGCUAAUACCGGAUAACAUUUAGAACCGCAUGGUUCUAAAGUGAAAGAUGGUUUUGCUAUCACUUAUAGAUGGACCCGCGCCGUAUUAGCUAGUUGGUAAGGUAACGGCUUACCAAGGCGACGAUACGUAGCCGACCUGAGGGGGUGAUCGGCCACACUGGAACUGAGACACGGUCCAGACUCCUACGGGAGGCAGCAGUAGGGAAUCUUCCGCAAUGGGCGAAAGCCUGACGGAGCAACGCCGCGUGAGUGAUGAAGGGUUUCGGCUCGUAAAACUCUGUUAUUAGGGAAGAACAAAUGUGUAAGUAACUGUGCACAUCUUGACGGUACCUAAUCAGAAAGCCACGGCUAACUACGUGCCAGCCGCCGCAGUAAAAC
rnacentral:rRNA from 1 species